UUCCAGACUCCUACGGGAGGCAGCAGUGGGGAAUAUUGCACAAUGGGGGAAACCCUGAUGCAGCGACGCCGCGUGAGUGGAGAAGUAAUUCGUUAUGUAAAGCUCUAUCAGCAGGGAAGAAAAUGACGGUACCUGAGUAAGAAGCCCCGGCUAACUACGUGCCAGCAGCCGCGGUAAUACGUAGGGGGCAAGCGUUAUCCGGAUUUACUGGGUGUAAAGGGAGCGUAGACGGCAUGGCAAGUCAGAUGUGAAAGCCCGGGGCUCAACCCCGGGACUGCAUUUGAAACUGUCAGGCUGGAGUGCAGGAGAGGUAAGUGGAAUUCCUAGUGUAGCGGUGAAAUGCGUAGAUAUUAGGAGGAACACCAGUGGCGAAGGCGGCUUACUGGACUGUAACUGACGUUGAGGCUCGAAAGCGUGGGGAGCAAACAGGAUUAGAUACCCCCGUA
rnacentral:rRNA from 1 species